rnacentral:rRNA from 1 species
AUGAGGGAGAAGUACUUGGAAAUAAGGGCGAAGCAGGUGGAGGAUGAGAGGAAUAAGCCAAGGGUUGUGGAUGAGUACUCUAUCAAAAACUGCAUCGAUCUGCUGAAAACAAUGGACAUCACACCUGAGGAAGAAGUCAAGGCUUUCCGGGUCUUCAAGAUCCCCGAGAACCGAGAGAUUUUCAUGAGUGCCAGACCAGAGACUGCUCUUAUGUGGCUGAGAGCUGAAAUGGAAUAA